ensembl:lncRNA
UUAUUCUAUUUCCAACCUUUAUUUGACAAUACUGGCAUACCGAAUACUGUCAAUUGUAACCAUGGUUUCUAUACAUGUGAUGAAAAUAGCUAGACAUUAAUAACAAAUCUUCAUAUCCGCCGUAGUCAAGAUUACAGAAAGUGUAAAUCUAAAUACAGCUAGAAUGCAUACAUUUCUCUCAACAAAACAAUGUUUACAAUGUAAAACAGAAAUACUUUUAACAGAAAGCUGUGUCAGUGUCACUAAUCCAUCUAAUUCAGUAUGUUUUGGCUGUUACUGAAUAGAUCCAGUUAGUGAAACUCCUGACUUGUGUUCUCCUCCAAUGUCAAACAAACAUUGAAUCGAAAGUGUUUCUCAUAAAAAAUAUCACAGUCUGAAAAACAUGUCAUUUAUUCUCAAAAAUGUCAACUGGACUGUGCACAACUGAGCGCUCAUCCAAUUCAUUCUUCAGUCUUCCAUUGCAUGGUGAUCUUCAGACAAUGGUUCACUGUCACUGUUAAUUUCAGUGCUACUGUUGGUGUUGGGGUGACUGUCAGGACCACCGUUUGGGUUAAUGUAACUAUCAGCGUUACUCCUAAGUAAGGAGAUCCUUACAGUUUCAAUGCCAACCAUGGCUGAAAUAAAAGAUGAGAAAGAAAACAUGUUGAACAAAUUACAUCAAUUAUGUACUAACCACACACCUGAUAUAUAAUCUACAUCAGUUAACACAGUAAAGUGUCAUUUACACCAGCAAUUUGUUACAACAAUUUUAUUCCUACCAUCCGUGCCACCGUCUGGGCCAACAUCCGCGUGAAAGUGCGGACCAUCCUCCGGGGGAAAGUGUGGGCCGGCCUCAGCCUGACACUCCGGGCCGGCCUCAGCCUGACACUCCGGGCCGGCCUCAGCCUGACACUCCGGGCCGGCCUCAGCCUGACACUCCGGGCCGGCCUCAGCCUGACACUCCGGGCCGGCCUCAGCCUGACACUCCGGGCCGGCCUCAGCCUGACACUCCGGGCCGGCCUCAGCCUGAAAGUCAGCGUCGGUUUGAUCAUCUGGGCCAGCAUUACAGUCAGUGUUUUUCCGAAGGAAGGAGAUCCUUGUUAUUGUGCUUUUUCCUGAAAUUCCCUUUCCAGAUUCAAUGCCAACCAUUUCUGGGGAAAAAAGAUACAUCGGAAAACAACAUGGUCAAAAACAUGAACAAAUUGCAACAAUUAU